UAUCAACAGACCUUAGCCUCCCUCCUCAUCUCAAGUCCCUUCACCUCGACUGCCCUAAUCUCGGUCGCCUCCCGAGGCUUCCCUCAAGUUUAUCCUCCUUAACAUUGCGAGUCACUUCGCUCGAUGGAGGAUCUAUCGAAUUUGAAGAAACUAUCAUCUCUCAAGAUUGUCCACUCUGGAAUUGCAGAGAUUCAAGGCCUUGGUUGUUUGGAGAACCUACGAGAAUUGUCACUUGAUAACCUUGAACGGUUGAAGCUGGUUGAGAUUCAAGGCGAACUACCACAAUCAUUGGAAAUAUUGGAAAUUCAAUCUUGUGGAUCUUUACAGAAGUUCCCUGAUUUGUCGAGCUUGACAGGGCUGCGACGAGGUUUGCAUAGAAGAAUGUGGUGAUCUGGUUGAGAUUCAAGGCGAACUUCCA